AAGACUAUAGACCUGCGGAGUACCUGCGGAGGGAUCAUUAACGAGUUAGGGUCUUCUAGGCCCGACCUCCCAACCCUUUGUUUACUGAACCACUGUUGCUUCGGCGGGCCCGUCUUCUGACCGCCGGAGGAUCGCUGAAAGGCGUGUCCUCUGGCCCGCGUCCGCCGAUAGCCAACCAUUUAAAUUCUGUAUCAAUCGUGUCUUUUGUCUAAGUCUUAUGAUUUAAUAAAAACCAAAAAC
rnacentral:misc_RNA from 1 species